rnacentral:rRNA from 11 species
UUUUAAAAAGUAAACUUACUAAAGAUGUCAGAUCCCAUUUGAUCUUGGAAGCUAAGCAGGGUCAGUCCUAGUUAGUACUUGAUUGGGAAAUUGCCAAAGAAUCCCAGGUGCUGUAGGCU